AUCUAUCACCUAGAGGGGGGUGAAUAGGUGAACGGUCAAAAACCACAAAUCUCGAUGCAAUAAAAAUAAAUGCGGAAAAUAAAAAGCACACCGAGAUUUACGUGGAAAAACUCCAACUUGGAGAAAAACCCACAGGACCAACACGCGAAAAAAUAAUUCACUAAGAGAAAAGAUUACAAGGUGAUUACCGACUCCACGGACUCAACCUCUCUUAACCUCCUAUGAAUCUUCGCGCUAUCCUCCGGGUUGUCCACGCCCUCACGUUCGAAUCCACGAACGUCUCCACUUCGAAUCCACGAAGCUUCAAUCACGCCGAAUCCACGACGCCACUCGAAUCCACGAGCCAACGAUCCGAAUCCACGAACCGCCUUCGUUCAC
rnacentral:lncRNA from 1 species